AGUGCUCCUGCUGACCUUCCGUGUCUGCAGCCCGGCUUUGGACUGUGGAGAUGCCCUCAGCCUCUACUCAGUGGCUCCAGCCUCAUAUUUGCGUGCUAUACCUUUAACCUCAAGUCCUCUUGCUGCUAACUUAAGCUGCGACUGUCCAGGACCUGCACACACACACACAUGCACGCAUGCACACACACACACACAGAAGGUGAACACACAGGAUGAGGCCCUGAAAACUCAUUUCACCCGUGUACCUCACCCAAAAAUUCCCCUUUGUACUCCUAUCUUUAUCUCUAACUGACAGCAUGAAGCCCUGACUGCCGAAACCCUCCAGCCCCAGCUCCAGCCCCUCAGGAGGGGACUGCGUGGGAGGAAUGACUCCAGCAAGCCGGCAGCUGACCCGUCUCCUGCCUGCACGCCUCCCGCUGUGGUCCACUGCCGGUGGUCUUCAGCUCUCUCCUCGUCCCACCCCCAUGGUCUGCUGACAGCCCAGCUCAGUGCAUCCCUGCCAUCUCUGCUCUACCGCUGGUCCUCCCAACAACCAACUUACAGGUUUGGGGGCACACGUGAAGGUUUGACAUAUAGUAAACACAUGUCAUGGUGGUUUGUUGUACAGAUUAUUACAUCACCCAGGGUUUCACUCCCGUCACCCAGACUGGAGUACAAUGGUGCGAUCUCAGCUCACUGCAACCUCUGCCUCCUGGGCUUAAGCGAUUCUCCUGCCUUGGCCUCCCAAGUAGCUGGGAUUACAGGUGCCUGCCACCACUCCUGGCUAAUUUUUGUAUUUUUUGUAAAGGCGGAGUUUCUCCAUGUUGCCCAGGCUAGUCUCAAACUCCUGAGCUCAAGCAAUCCACCCGCCUCGGCCUCCCAAAUAAGUGGAAUUAUAGGUGUGAGCCACCACGCCGGCCCUGAUGUAUCAAUAUUAAAACAUUUUCUUCAGCCUA
rnacentral:lncRNA from 1 species